rnacentral:lncRNA from 1 species
GUCUUGACUUAAAGCUGCCUCAUGAGAGUCUACUUUUGCCAAGUACUGAGAAGUGGUUCCACUGGCCUAUCCACCUCCCACCUCGUUUCAGAGGCCUAAACUUUGGAAUGGAUAGACUAAGCACAUCAGUUUGUUUGGGGAAGACUAGAAAGGACUUGAAAACCAUCUCUGAAAUGUCACCAUCAAGAUGAUAGUGCCCCUAUCUCCCAGUUCCUGUGACAGGCAGGGGCCUAAGUUCUGCAGGCACUCUCCUCAAGUUGCAACACUUCUCCUGUCAUAAAUAUAUGAGAAAUUUAUUUUUCCUGUGCGUAAAUCCAGUUAGCAAGUGCAGAUGGCCUCCUGAAUGACCAGGUGCAUCUAAGACAAACUAUAUGUGACAAAUGGUGCUGUCAAGUACUGUUAACUUAAGCACUAGUUAAGUUUAUGCUGAGAACAUGUAUGUAACGGGCUGUAUCUGCCUGCCUGUAUAAAAGGGAGAGAUGUAUUUCUAUCUUGGCAAUCUCUUAGCUUCACAUUCUGGUUUACUGUUUAUUCAAUAAUAAAACUAUUUCCUUUCUUUUUUUAUUUUUGUGAAGAGGUUUCCUUAGUUGGCAGGAGACUUAGUUUUUAUUUGUAUUUCCCCAGCAGUGUGUAUAUAUGUAUAUGUGUAUGUUUAUGUGAGAUGAUAUUGCACACAUGGAUCUAAUCAUCAAAAAACAUGCAUGUAUCAUACAGUACUUGGCUCUGAGGAUGUAACGGUAACAAAAAAGACAAAAUCCUUGUUAAACUACAUAUGCUCUAGAGAAAACAGACCCAAAAUAAUAUAUGUAAUAUUGCAUGGAUAGCAAUAAGUACAUGGAGAAAAAAAUAAAACAGGGAAUAAAGAGAGACAGGGAUUGCCUCAUUAGACUGUUAGAAAUUAUAAAUGGUGUGGUCAGAAUCUGACUCACUGAGAAAUGUGGUAUUUGAGGAAAGACAAAUGAAGACAGACACAUACAGAAGUACAUAGUAGAAGUAAACAUCAAGCAGAGAGAAGAUUGUCAAGAACCUGAGGUAGGCAAAUGCCUAGCAUCCUUGACAAAUAGCAAGGUCAGCAGAGAUUUCAAGGGAAAGACAGAGAUACUGGGAGGGAAUAGAGGCAAAUUCAAUGUGGCAUUGUUAAUAUGGCUGAAAUGCCUAUACCAAUUUAAGUUCUUAAAGCAGUAUUUAGGAGAUUCUUAAAAUUCCUAUUUCCUAUCAUUAACAUAAGGAUAGUGUUGAAUGAUAGUCCCUAAAUAGAAAUUGUAUCAUUUUUGUUUCUUUGUUUCGCCAGUCUAUUUGAGGAAAAUCACAUUUUUAUGGCUUUCAUAAAAUCAAGUUAGAGCACAUUUUAUAGAUAUUUUGGGUUUGUAUAAUUCUUGUAUAUGUUUGUUUGAAGAAUUUGUUCAUUAAUCUAUUGAGAUCCUGACUUCUUCCUAAUUAUUCACGAAGAAAAAUAUUAAGAGGUGGGAAUUAUCAGACACUGACCAAAACAUUAGGUUUUUUCUGAUAUUUGAAAUAUCAAAAAGGAACUGUGCAAAUUCUAUUAUAUUAUUCAUUUGCAUUUUCAAUCUAUAUAUUCUCUGUAUAUUUUCUGUAAAUAAAGUUAGUGUUGAAAUUUUUAUUUAAAAUAGGCUAAUUAGCAUGUGUUAAAAGUUUAGUUUGAUAAUUGUCCUUGGAUUUCUGGACAAAUUGCUAAUAUUGAGAUUAAUUUUAAUAGUGAUUAAUUGAAAUUAUCUUUUUGGUUGAAAAUAGCUGUUCACACAGAGAAAGCUCUGAUGGUUAAUCACCGGCCACAAACACUUGUGAGCUUUUAUUCACUCUUAAGAGCAGCAAAAGCACUAGAGCUCGCAUGUCCACACUAGGAAAGAAUUAAAAUGAGGACAAUCAGCCUGUUUCUUUGGAUGAAGAGAAAACCACCAUUUUUCAAACCAGUUAACAAAACAAUAUUUCUGUCUAACUUUUUACUUUCACCUCAACUUUGGGGCUUCCUCUUCCAUAAAGAAAAAUGCACACACACAUACACAUACAAAUAUAUAUAUAUACUUUUUUCUGCUUCUCAGGAAAUAGGCAUGACAGUUUUUACUCUGCUAUUUUGAAGAAACUCCCCAUGCAUUAGGUUUUGCAACAUUACACCUAGGUACUCACUGUAUGUAAUUAAUGCACAGUGUUUUUGAAACUCUUGUUAACACAUCUUCUUUCACUUGCUGGCCUACCCUGUACUACUCACCAUUGCGUAGCUCAGAAGGAUGGCAGGUAGAUGUAAAAAUUCCAGAAAGGAGUUUUCUCAAAAGAACAUUUUAUUUGUAAGAGGUACCAUUUGAGUUACAAUAAAGCAUUCUUGAUUUUGAUGAUCUGGUAUUUACUGCUCUUUCACAAAAUCAAAGAAGUCUGUGUCAAUGUCCUUAUCAAAUAUCAUUGCAUCAUAUAUACAUGGCAUGCAUGCUGCCAUGGCAUAUUUGUGGCAUAUAUGUUAGAGGCUUGAUUUUUACAGACAAUUAGGUUUUUGAUAUGAAAUCAAGGAUAGACCAAACCUGCCCUAAUUUAAACAUGGAGAAACAAAGUACAAUGAACAGAGUUCUCAGCAUCCUAAGAUGUAUGAAAAAAAGUAUAGCAGUGAUGAGGUCCAGGACAACAAGUGAAGUAAGGAGCUAUCUCAAUGUAAUGGUA